UUCGUUAAAUAUCUCAGAGCUCCUUAUUUAGUCAACUGAGUUGAUAUACAGCGAUUUCACAGUUGGCUGUCAGCCAAUCAGAAACAAUGAAUCUUUUGCCAAUACUUCCUUUUACCCCAAACACCUCCCAAAUUUAUUUUCGUUUAUUUCAGCUAUUAUCAAAGAUGUUUAUCCGCGAAAACCAUCCAUUGUGUCAAAAUACGCUCUACCAGUGAUGUGGAAACUUCUCGAGUCUUCGAGCAGUGCAUCGACUGGCAGUGGAAAUAUGAAGGAAGCCGUUCACGGUUUGGCUAACCUACUUUAUUCUUUAAUGGGACAAUCUCUGUUUGAGCAGGCUCAAGCAAAGUCGCACAGAUUACGACAAAAGCUCAAAGAGCUAUUGGAUCAAUGACUGGAUCAAUGAUUGACAAUCUGCUUUGUGAGCAGAGAAUGUUGGAAUGGAGUCCAGGCGAGCUUCCAUAAAAGGCAGUUACACACACACAGAAAAUUCCGUCCCGCCAACACGCUGAGCUUUUGCCGCGUUCGAUCUGGCCACCAUUAGCUCAACUUCGGCCGUACAACAACAGCCAGAACAUCAAAACUGGCCGAAUUGGGCUCACUGCUGCUCGGAUAUUUUGCUCCUGCAUGCGGUAAAUUCUCUAUUAAGACCCUCUCUCUUUCAGGCAAUAAUAUAAGCUCCUGUUCUUUAGGGGAAGCCUUUGGCUAAUAACUUCCACGCUUAUUUUAGAGGGAG